rnacentral:rRNA from 1 species
GAUGAACGCUGGCGGCGUGCCUAAUACAUGCAAGUCGAGCGAACAGACGAGGAGCUCGCUCCUUCGACGUUAGCGGCGGACGGGUGAGUAACACGUAGGUAACCUACCUAUAAGACUGGGAUAACUUCGGGAAACCGGAGCUAAUACCGGAUAAUAUUUCGAACCGCAUGGUUCGAUAGUGAAAGAUGGCUUUGCUAUCACUUAUAGAUGGACCUGCGCCGUAUUAGCUAGUUGGUAAGGUAACGGCUUACCAAGGCAACGAUACGUAGCCGACCUGAGAGGGUGAUCGGCCACACUGGAACUGAGACACGGUCCAGACUCCUACGGGAGGCAGCAGUAGGGAAUCUUCCGCAAUGGGCGAAAGCCUGACGGAGCAACGCCGCGUGAGUGAUGAAGGUCUUCGGAUCGUAAAACUCCGUUAUUAGGGAAGAACAAACGUGUAAGUAACUGUGCACGUCUUGACGGUACCUAAUCAGAAAGCCACGGCUAACUACGUG